rnacentral:lncRNA from 1 species
UACUCUUCAAUUACAGACACGUGUGUCGUUCGAACGCGAAACAUUCCUUGCCAACUAAUCUAAUUACAUGACCACUGAAUUAAAGUAACCCACGACAAAUCACAGGGCGCUCGAAAGAAUUUCUCGGUUCGAGGGAAGACAAAUCAAAAGGAAAUCUAAUAUCGUCGAAAUUGCACUAGUUGUCCAUGGCGGUUGUUAUAGAUAUGCCUUGCGUAACACUUUAUUAUAGACGCGAAAACUUAAAGACAAAAGCUAACCUCAUUGCGAAUCAUGUUACGAAUAAAUGUAAAGUUACAAAUAAUAUGAUUAUAUCAUUCAUAACAUACAGUUGAUUUGAAUAAUUGGCACCGAAUCUUCAAGUUGGAAAUAUGCAGUUCGAUAAAAUGGUCCACGCAAAGAUAUUACGUUACGCCCACGCAAUAAACGGCGUUAACACGAGAAUGUUAAGAGUUAAUGGACCAACUUCCCGGACACGACGAGUUUCAACAGCCGUAGCGAAUCCUCUGGCAAUGACAUUGACAAAACUGUCAUUUCUCAUCGAUCAAAGAAAUACCUGUAUUUUUAUUUAAAUAGUCAAAUUAUUGUUAAAUGUUUAAUCUCAAAGAUGUUAAACAAUGUUUGCA